GUCUGGGUGGCUCAAUUGGUUGAGCAUCUGCCUUCAGCUCAGAUCAUGAUCCUGGGGUCCUGGGAUUGAGUCCCACAUCAGACU
rnacentral:tRNA from 1 species